AGAACAGGAGGUGAUGGCAGCUCCUUUUUAUCAAAGGGGAGGAAAGUCCGGGCUCCAGAGGGCAAGCGUAAUGGGUAACGCCCAUCCUCCAAGUUAUUGGAGAGGAUUCCACAGAGAGUGGAUGCAUCAUUAAUUAUGAUGCAAGAGCCACAGAGACGAGUACCGCAUAUGCGGGAGGUGAAACGCGGCAAUCUCUACGUGGAGCAAGGUCAGAUAGAGCCUGAAUUUGGGGUGGCCCGCUCCAAUGAUAGAUAAUAAUCUAUCUUUCAGGCAGGGUAGACCGCUAAAGUUAUCAAAGUAAUUUGAUAAUUAAGAUAGAUGCCAUCUUAAAAUACAAAACCCGGCUUACCUCACUGUUCUGUCU
rnacentral:RNase_P_RNA from 1 species